AACAUGUCCUUUUGAUAAUAAUUUAAGGUCCGGCCUGCCCAAUGAUUAAUUCAAUGGCUGCAGUAUUUUGACUGUACAAAGGUAGCAUAAUCAUUAGUUUUUUAAUUGAAAACUUGUAUGAAUGGUUUAAUGAGAAAAAAGCUGUCUUUAAUUUAAUUUUUAGAGAAAUUUAUUUUUGAGUUAAAAAGCUUAAAUUUUAUUAAAAGACGAGAAGACCCUAUAGAGUUUGAUAAUUUAUUUGUUUUAAAAAUUUAAUAAUUUAAUUUUUAUUUAAUAUGUAAAAUUAUUUAGUUGGGGUGACUUAAAAAUUUAAAUAACUUUUUAUUUUUAAAAUCAUUAGUUUAUGAAUUAUUGAUCCAUAUUGUUGUGAUUAAAAGAUUAAAUUACCUUAGGGAUAACAGCGUAAUUUUUUUGGAAAGUUCUUAUUGAUAAAAAAGUUUGCGACCUCGAUGUUGGAUUAAAAUUAACUAUUGGCGCAGUUGUUGAUGAGUUGAGUCUGUUCGACUUUUAAAAUUUUACAUGAUCUGAGUUUAAACCGGUGUGAGCCAGG
rnacentral:rRNA from 1 species